rnacentral:rRNA from 1 species
GAUGAACGCUGGCGGCGUGCCUAAUACAUGCAAGUCGAGCGAACAGAUGAGGAGCUUGCUCCUCUGACGUUAGCGGCGGACGGGUGAGUAACACGUGGAUAACCUACCUAUAAGACUGGGAUAACUUCGGGAAACCGGAGCUAAUACCGGAUAAUAUAUUGAACCGCAUGGUUCAAUAGUGAAAGACGGUUUUGCUGUCACUUAUAGAUGGAUCCGCGCCGCAUUAGCUAGUUGGUAAGGUAACGGCUUACCAAGGCAACGAUGCGUAGCCGACCUGAGAGGGUGAUCGGCCACACUGGAACUGAGACACGGUCCAGACUCCUACGGGAGGCAGCAGUAGGGAAUCUUCCGCAAUGGGCGAAAGCUUGACGGAGCAACGCCGUGUGAGUGAUGAAGGUCUUCGGAUCGUAAAACUCUGUUAUUAGGGAAGAACAAAUGUGUAAGUAACUAUGCACGUCUUGACGGUACCUAAUCAGAAAGCCACGGCUAACUACGUG